CACCAGUGGCGANAGCGGCUCUCUGGUCUGUCACUGACGCUGAGGCUCGAAAGCGUGGGUAGCGAACAGGAUUAGAUACCCUGGUAGUNCACGCCGUAAACGAUGAGUGCUAGGUGUUAGGCCCUUUCCGGGGCUUAGUGCCGGAGCUAACGCAAUAAGCACUCCGCCUGGGGAGUACGACCGCAAGGUUGAAACUCAAAGGAAUUGACGGGGGCCCGCACAAGCGGUGGAGCAUGUGGUUUAAUUCGAAGCAACGCGAAGAACCUUACCAGGUCUUGACAUCCCGAUGCUAUUCUUAGAGAUAGGAAGUUACUUCGGUACAUCGGAGACAGGUGGUGCAUGGUUGUCGUCGGCUCGUGUCGUGAGAUGUUGGGUUAAGUCCCGCAACGAGCGCAACCCUUAUUGUUAGUUGCCAUCAUUAAGUUGGGCACUCUAGCGAGACUGCCGGUAAUAAACCGGAGGAAGGUGGGGAUGACGUCAAAUCAUCAUGCCCCUUAUGACCUGGGCUACACACGUGCUACAAUGGUCGGUACAACGAGUUGCGAGCCGGUGACGGCAAGCUAAUCUCUGAGAGCCGAUCUCAGUUCGGAUUGGAGGCUGCAACUCGCCUCCAUGAAGUCGGAAUCGCUAGUAAUCGCGGAUCAGCACGCCGCGGUGAAUACGUUCCCGGGCCUUGUACACACCGCCCGUCACACCACGAGAGUUUGUAACACCCGAAGUCGGUGAGGUAACCUUUUAGGGG
rnacentral:rRNA from 1 species